AUUGAACGCUGGCGGCAGGCUUAACACAUGCAAGUCGAGCGGAGCGAGGGUGCUUGCACCUUAGCUUAGCGGCGGACGGGUGAGUAAUGCUUAGGAAUCUGCCUAUUAGUGGGGGACAACAUUCCGAAAGGGAUGCUAAUACCGCAUACGCCCUACGGGGAAAGCAGGGGAUCGUCGGACCUUGCGCUAAUCGAUGAGCCUAAGUCGGAUUAGCUAGUUGGUGGGGUAAAGGCCUAACAAGGCGACGAUCUGUAGCGGGUCUGAGAGGAUGAUCCGCCACACUGGGACUGAGACACGGCCCAGACUCCUACGGGAGGCAGCAGUGGGGAAUAUUGGACAAUGGGCGGAAGCCUGAUCCAGCCAUGCCGCGUGUGUGAAGAAGGCCUUUUGGUUGUAAAGCACUUUAAGCGAGGAGGAGGCUACUAGUAUUAAUACUACUGGAUAGUGGACGUUACUCGCAGAAUAAGCACCGGCUAACUCUGUGCCAGCCGCCGCCGUAACAC
rnacentral:rRNA from 1 species